GUGCCAGCAGCCGCGGUAAUACCGGCAGCCCGAGUGAUGGCCGAUCUUAUUGGGCCUAAAGCGUCCGUAGCUGGCUGCGCAAGUCCGUCGGGAAAUCCACUCGCCCAACGAGUGGGUGUCCGACGGAAACCAUACGGCUUGGGACCAGAGGACCCGAGGGGUACGUUGGGGGUAGGAGUGAAAUCCCGAGAUCCUCAACGGACCGCCGGUGGCGAAAGCGCCUCGGGAAGAUGGAUCCGACGGUCAGGGACGAAAGCUUGGGUCUCCAACCGGAUUAGAAACCCUAGUAGUCC
rnacentral:rRNA from 1 species